GAAGGCAGUUAUGGGUGCCGGCCUGACCACGCCCCUCUAGGUAAUCGCUUUCACUUGCGUUCUGGUUAGGAUGAGUAUAUAUAAAGGCUGAAGGUAAGGCGACCGGAUGUCACGCUCAGCUGUUUGCAUUUUUGUCAGUAUUGCAUUGCUGUCACAUGAGAGUAUAAGCUCUUGUGAAGUUGGUAUCUGUACCGCAGCAUUCUCUAUUAGAGGAUCGCAAACUUUUAGUCUCUGGUGAUUUACGUGGCAUUCCUUGAAUCGGGAGAUUGCAGGCUCAGCUGUGCUGCAGUUCCGAUAGCUUGUUUCCACACAAAAGCUCUCUUAGGCUGGCAUUUGUUGCCGUGGUGUCCUCGGCAUCUGAGCAUUACGAACGAUUGGUUCAUUUUGUAUUAGGGAAUCGCGGUGUAAUUGAGGCGUGUGCUUUUGAUCUGCGGCUUCUGUCACAAGUGGUUGAUGGGGGCGACGGAUUCGGCCGCGGAGUAUAUGCUGUGACCCAUGCAGGCUGGUAUGUUUAACCCACUCCUGUCCAUUCAGCCUUCCUUAAGACAUGUGACAUUUUGCUAAUGUUGUUUGUGUUUCAGGUGUUUGAGUUACCCGGCAUCAUGGCUUAAGGUCCUAACACUGCUGUUUUGCUUUUGUUUAUUUUGGAUUCUUUUGCGUAGUUUAUUUCGUUUAGGUUAGUAAUUGGUGUAUUAGUUUAUCUUUGUCCUUUUUUUUGUGUGAUAUUUAAUCUUUUCUUGGUUUCUUUUCGUUUGCUCAUUACAAUUUAUUGUUUGUUUUGCUUAUUCAUUGCAAGUUAUUAUUUGUUUUCGUUUGUUUAUUCAGUGCAAUUUAUUUUCAUUUGCUUAUUGCAAUUUAUUAUUUGUGUUCCUUUGUUUAUUUAUUACAAUUUAUUAUUUGUCUUUUGCUUACUCAUUGCAAGUUAUUAUUUGUUUUCGUUUGCUUAUUCAUUGCAAUUUAUUAUUUUGGUUUGCUUAUUGCAAUUUACUAAUUGUUGUCUUUUGUUUAUCAUUACAAUUUAUUAUUUGUUUUUUUUGGUUAUUCAUUGCCAUUUAUUAUUUGUCGUCUUGUGCUUAAUUCUUUUGAUUUGGGUAAAUGUUGAGUGGUUUUCUUUGGAAGUGUUUGAUUAUUUUGUCUGUAACUUGGGGCCCUGAGGAAGGCAGACUAAGACUGAGCAGAAUUAGCCUCCCCUAAUGUGGUGUGAAUUUGCAGUGAAUCUGUUUAGGUGUUGCAGUGAUUUGGUGCACGUGUGUAUUAUUAUUAUUAUUAUUAUUAUUAUUAUUAUUAUUAUUAUUAUUAUUACUUACAAGCUCUGUUUCUAGUCUGCCUCCUGGUUGUUAUACCCCAGUUUCAGGCUUGUUCAUUUUCUGUUUGAUUAGUCCUUAUUUCGUGUCAGUGGUGUGCCGUGAUUUUGAUGAGUGCCCCUUUUAGGCAAGAUCUUUUUAACAUUUCUACCUGAAUAAAGCCUUAUGAAUCUUUUUAAUACCAA